rnacentral:rRNA from 1 species
CCUACGGGGGGCUGCAGUCGAGAAUCUUCGGCAAUGGGCGCAAGCCUGACCGAGCGACGCCGCGUGCGGGAUGAAGGCCUUCGGGUUGUAAACCGCUGUCGUAGGGGAGGAAGAUCCUGUGCAGAACAGGGUUUGACCGAUCCUAGGAGGAAGGGCCGGCUAAUCUCGUGCCAGCAGCCGCGGUAAUACGAGAGGCCCAACGGUUAUUCGGAAUUACUGGGCUUAAAGGGGUCGAAGGAAGCAUGGAAAUGAAAGCCCUCGGCUCAACCGAGGAAUUGCGCUCUGAACUGUCGUGCUUGAGGAAGCUAGAGGUGAGCGGAACUGAUGGUGGAGCGGUGAAAUGCGUUGAUAUCAUCAGGAACACCGGAGGCGAAGGCGGCUCACUGGGGAUUUUCUGACGCUGAGGAACGAAAGCCAGGGUAGCGAACGGGAUUAGAUACCCCGGUAGUC